CCCUUCCCUUCCCUUCCCUUCCCUUCCCUUCCCUCACUUCUCCUCCCGGGGUCGCCCCAUGGCGGCGCAGGGAGGUAACGGCCGCGACGGGCGGCCCUGAGGGGCAGGUGCUGCCCCUGUGUGUCUUGCAGGUGGGCUUCUGGAACCGCAGCGACUAGCGACAGUGACAAAAUCACCCAGCAAAGCGGUGGCAAAGAAUGAAACAGAAGUUCCUAAUGGCUACUUAAAUUCACACUGAAAACUGAUGGAGCUCUGAAGUGUGCAAGGAUUACUGAAGAGGCAUUUAACACUUCUUUACUUCAGACCAUUCUUUUGUUUCCUAAAGCAACGUCAAAAGAGACACCAGGUGGCAGAUAACACACUACUUCAUUGAGGCCUCUCCCUUGAUUAAAUAAAAACCAAAUCAUAACACUAACGUGAAUUCAAUGGCAGAAAGAAUGCAGCAGAAAACUUACUGUUCCAAAACAUUUUGAUGAUAAACGAUGACUAUUCGGUGAUCCACAAGGAAAUAUAGGAGAAGACAGCUUUAUUGCUUCUCCUAGUAAUAAAGAAACAGCAAUCAAAUAUGAUACCCUAAACCAUCCUUAGGUAUCGAAUGUUAUACCCUAAACUAACCUUGACUUGGAGACCAUGGCCUCUCUUCAGGACUGUGUACUGAUUUUGCUAGUGAUAGAUUUUUUUUUAUUAAAACAUUCACAUACACACCCUCUGUCUGGAGUCCCAUAAAGAAAAUCCUUAGUUCUAAAGCCAAGGCUUUUGCCUGAGUACUUUAAGCCCUUCCUGGUACUUUUCUGCUGGCACAGAAAAAAAAAAUCUGUGCACUUGGAUUUACUUGCACUUCUAGAAACAUUCUUCCAGAAACAGUCUCAGAGUACCACUGCCCCCAUGGGAGUUAGAGCCAGGCAAUUUUUUUUUGUCUGUUGUCAAGAUAUUGGAGUGACAGGAAGUCCACCUCCCCAUAAAAAACAGUUUGGGUUUGGAAAAGCAGCUCUUUGGAUCAAUCCAAUUAACAAACUCAAUAUUAGAAAUGAAAUUGUAUCUGCAG